UACGGGGGGGGCAAGCGUUGUUCGGAAUUACUGGGCGUAAAGGGCUCGUAGGUGGCCAACUAAGUCGGACGUGAAAUCCCUCAGCUUAACUGGGGAACUGCGUCCGAUACUGGAUGGCUUGAGUUUGGGAGAGGGAUGCGGAAUUCCAGGUGUAGCGGUGAAAUGCGUAGAUAUCGUGGAGGAACACCGGUGGCGAAGGCGGCAUCCUGGACCAACACUGACACUGAGGAGCGAAAGCCAGGGGAGCAAACGGG
rnacentral:rRNA from 1 species